rnacentral:rRNA from 1 species
CACUCCUGCGGGAGGCAGCAGUGAGGAAUAUUGGACAAUGGGUGGAAGCCUGAUCCAGCCAUCCCGCGUGCAGGAAGACGGCCCUAUGGGUUGUAAACUGCUUUUAUCUGGGGAUAAACCUACUUACGUGUAAGUAGCUGAAGGUACCAGAAGAAUAAGCACCGGCUAACUCCGUGCCAGCAGCCGCGGUAAUACGGAGGGUGCAAGCGUUAUCCGGAUUUAUUGGGUUUAAAGGGUCCGUAGGCGGACUGAUAAGUCAGUGGUGAAAUCCGACAGCUUAACUGUCGAACUGCCAUUGAUACUGUUAGUCUUGAGUAAGGUUGAAGUGGCUGGAAUAAGUAGUGUAGCGGUGAAAUGCAUAGAUAUUACUUAGAACACCAAUUGCGAAGGCAGGUCACUAAGUCUUAACUGACGCUGAUGGACGAAAGCGUGGGGAGCGAACAGGAUUAGAAACCCUAGUAGUCCCAUGA